GAUGAACGCUGGCGGCGUGCCUAAUACAUGCAAGUCGAGCGAACAGAUGAGGAGCUUGCUCCUCUGACGUUAGCGGCGGACGGGUGAGUAACACGUGGAUAACCUACCUAUAAGACUGGGAUAACUUCGGGAAACCGGAGCUAAUACCGGAUAAUCUCUUGAACCGCAUGGUUCAAUAGUGAAAGACGGUUUUGCUGUCACUUCUAGCUGGAUCCGCGCCGCAUUAGCUAGUUGGUAAGGUAACGGCUUACCAAGGCAACGAUGCGUAGCCGACCUGAGAGGGUGAUCGGCCACACUGGAACGGAGACACGGUCCAGACUCCUACGGGAGGCAGCAGUAGGGAAUCUUCCGCAAUGGGCGAAAGCUUGACGGAGCAACGCCGCGUGAGUGAUGAAGGUCUUCGGAUCGUAAAACUCUGUUAUUAGGGAAGAACAAAUGUGUAAGUAACUAUGCACGUCUUGACGGUACCUAAUCAGAAAGCCACGGCUAACUACGUG
rnacentral:rRNA from 1 species